rnacentral:rRNA from 1 species
AACGAACGCUGGCGGCAUGCCUAACACAUGCAAGUCGAGCGAGGACCUCGGGUCUCGCGGCGGACGGGCGCGUAACGCGUGGGAAUGUGCCCUUCUCUACGGAAUAGCCCUGGGAAACUGGGAGUACUCCCGUAUACGACCUAUUGGGGAAAAGUUUAUCGGAGAACGAUCAGCCCGCGGUGGAUUAGGUAGUUGGUGGGGUAAUGGCCUACCCAGCCGACGAUCCAUAGCUGGUUUGAGAGGAUGAUCAGCCACACUGGGACAGAGACACGGCCCAGACGCCUGCGGGAGGCAGCAGUGGGGAAGCUUAGACAAUGGGUGCGACCCGGAUCUAGCCAUGCCGUGUGAGUGAUGAAGGCCUUAGGAUUGUAUUGCUCGUUCAGCGGGGAAGAUAAUGACGGUACCAGCAGAGAAAGCCCCGGCUAACUCCGUG